UCUAUGGCGGGUCGUGGUGGGGGCAGCUUCGGCUGCGUCGGUUUCCAUAACGCCGAUACGCCAACCCUAUCACGUACCUGCCACCCU
rnacentral:antisense_RNA from 1 species